GUGUUUUGGUGGGGAUGGGCCAGUGGGGUAGUUUAUCGCCACCACCUGGAAGAACUGGAGGGGGUAAAUUAGUCACCAUUUGAUCUAGAUCUCGAGGGAAGCAGGUGAAUUCAGUUAGGUAAAAAUGGGGCAAGGAAGAGAUUGCAGCCCGUCGAAUAAGAGAGAAGCUGGACGACAGGACUGGAGUUGACAUGUAGCAGGGACAUUAGGGAAUCCCGGGAAAGAUGAACAAUAGAUGCUGCUGUCAGUUGUUGGCUCUGAACUCCUGGUUUUCCCCGGAAAGAGUUUUCUAGGCUUGCUUGGUGAAAGGAAGGGAUCCCGGGAAGACCACCAGCAAGCUAUGGAAGAAGGUACAUGUCCAGUCUGUCUCCCACUUCCGAUGUCCUAAUGAACGAAUGUCAUGAGCAGUUCUCCAUGCUCCUCUUGCUGAGCAAAUGAAGUUGCGUAUUCGAGAAAGAUAAGGUGGCUAAAACGAAGACUCUUAGAAAAAGCGUCUCAAGAAAGCAGGCAGGAUAGAAGAACCUGGAAUAACCAAAAGCGUCUAAGUGACACACUCAACUGAAAAUGACCAUCCUGCCAGGCUGAGACGCAUUCCUUCUAUGUCCCAUAAAGGGAGCAUGCAGUGUGUAGGUGUCACCAAGCCCCAUUCCUGUGACUAGUUGGACGUUGCAAUGGAUCAUGGUACUUUUAUUGCUGAAAUUAGCAUGUUUGGAAGGAGGAAGGACACGCUGUUCUCACCUCACAGUGAAGUGGAGGUGAGCAGUGGCUUGCGUCAGAUUCCCCGGAGACAUGAUCGCCAACAGUUUACUUGUCCAUCGUGAUGCUGAGACACUUCUUGUAAAUCGUUUUUCUUGUCUGUAGUUAAUGACUACACUCUUGAUUCCUGCUUAUCUAUUUGAAAGGGAAGAAGAUCAGGGCAUGGCCUCCAAUGGUAGAUGAUACAAAAAUACCUCGGAUUUGGCCAUGGAAUAUGUUUUUGUACUUGCGCUGGAACCUGGGUGUGUCUAGAAAUUUAUAGCAUUCCAGUCCAACAGAAGAAACUAUGCAAGGGGACCCAGGGUGGGGACUGUCUCAGUGCUCUGAAUUUCUCUCUCUUGUCUCCUAGCCAACCCCCAGCCCCUCUCACCCCUCCCCUUGGAGGUCAGGCCAGAUGUGUUAUCUGGUUGGUCUGUUAAAAACAGCUGGCAUAACCCGCGCACCCCCACCACCUAAAAUCAUCCAUUUUCCUGAGAGUGGGAGAAGUUGGUAUCUUACAUUAAAAUAUGUUACUCAUUU